UGAUCCAUACAAAGUAUUGGUUUGUCAAGGAGUAGAGUUAUGGUUUAAUAGAAACCGGUUCUUCAAGUGUUACCAAUCGAAUGGCAUCAACAACUUAUCUCUCAAUAUGGUUUGAUAGAAUCUAGGAUUAAUUGGCUCUAGCAUCAUCCAAAGUCUUUUCCUCACCUGAGUUUUCUGUUUUAUUCUAUAUCCUGUAAUGGUUUUAAAUCUGCUUCCUUGUAUUACAUUUAAAUCAUCCAUUGUGAAAAAAGGAGUAGAGUUAUGACUUUCACGGUGGGAAUUAUUUGUGAUGAACCAAGAAAAGAUGCUUAAACCUAAAUGCUGCAUCAAAAUAAGCAAACCGCCAUAUGCCACGCGGUUACCCGUAGAGGAAAAACGCUAGUUACUUACAUUUACUAAUUACAAAAACUGGUUUUGGAUCUUAUCAACGGCAAGAAACAGGGUUUUAAGGUGCAUAUUUGAAUUCGUGAUAUCUCCCUCUGGUAAUCAAAAUUUGGAUCACGUUCAUUUUGUUUGGGCUUAAAUCUUUCGCAGCUUUGUAUACUUUAUCUAUCGUGCUUUUUAUGUCUUGCUGAAUGAGUAGUGGAGAGCUAAAAUAGAAUAACAUGGAAAAGAAACUUUAAUAAUGCAAGGGAUAAAUAGUUCGUUGAUAAUUGACAGUAGUUUGUAUUAAAUUGAUUACAGUUUUGUUUUUCAGUUAAAAAUAUGAAUUUGAUGGAUUUUUAUAUUUGGUGUGGCAACUGGCAUAUGGUUCACAGAAGUGGUAAACAUGUCUCCUGUAAAUUUGUCUGUACUUUUUAUCAAUAAUUAACCAACCCUCUCUCGUCAUAUGAGAAAAGGUUUAGGGGUUUUAGUGGUUUAAACUUAUGGGAUGCAUGAACUUGCAAUUGCAGAUAAAUAUUUUUUUUAAAAAAAUAUAGAAAGACAAUUCUAAACACAUCGAAGGCAAAAAGACUAGACAACAAUAACGAAACAAAUCCAAAAAAAAAAACAAAUCCAAACUACGCCUGAUAAGAGAAAUAGAAGCGAAAACAGACGUACAGUUAAGUAGCUUUUGAUUUUUAACGUCAUUUUUUUAUUUUGGUAAAAAAAGUUUGGUAUGAUACUUACCCUAGUUAUGCUAAUUAUUUAUAUUAAUACCAUUUAAUUUAUUAAUCAUGAUUCAUGCAAAAUACAUUGCUUUCAUAUCAUGAUUCAUGCAUAUUAUCUUUUUACUGCUUAUUGGUCCUACUACACCUAUACUCUAUAUGAUUAAUUAUAUAUGUCUUAUAUACACCCAACUUAAGCAUUAACAUAUGCAUGAAGGACUGUUGUUAGUCGCUACGCAAAAUGGUCCUGAACCUAAGUUUCAUAUUCAUUCAUAAAUACCCAAUUGCACCACAACAGUUAAGGAGAAAAAGAAACAUAUUAAUUUUCAGAGAAAAAAAAUCUUUGAUGAUGCUUUUUUUUGUAACAAGGCUUUCUCUAUGAUAAUGUUCAUGACCAACAUAUUGCUUGUGAGUUGUGUGGCUAAUAUACUUUCCAGUAUAAAACUAAAGGAAACUUUCAAUAAUGCACUUUUUCCUGGAAGUUAGAAUACCAUCAAUCAAAUCAUUUUUAUUAUUUUGGUUUCAAUGAUAAUAGCGGACAUCCUCGAUUAAGUCACUUGCCGCACUAGAUCUUUCUAUUAUAUUACUUUCCCGACUUCCAUCUUUCUAUUUUCAGACUACGAAAAACUUAUUUUUUUUUUAGACUACGAAAAACUUUUUAUAAUGUAAAUUCCAUUAUAUAAAUAAAAUAGUUACGUAAAAAAAUAAAAACUCUAUAAAUUAAUAAUAUUGAUACUUUGAUAUUUUAUUAAUUUAGAGAGUUAUUAAUUUACAAAAAAAAUUCUUAGAAAUUUUAUAUUUUUAUUUAUAAAAUAAAAAAUAGUUGAUUUUACCGUAUAUACAUUAAUUAAAUUUUAAAAAUUAGACUUUCAUAUUGUUUUAUUAUAUUUUUGGUGUAUAUUUUUUAUGCUUCACGAAAUCCAAAAUGUGAUUUUAGAUAUAAUUGUACUAAAUAUUAUCAAAAUAUAUUGAAAUUUUAAGAAAAAUAGAGAUAAUUUCAUUAUGAAUAUAAAACCAACAAUAUAAUGUGUAGAUUGAUUUUAUAUAAAAAAUAUAUAUAUAGAGUAUUAAUUUAUGAUUUUAAUGAGACCAUAUAUUUAAAAUAAGACUUUCUAGAAAUUUAUUAUAUUAUUAUUUUAUCGAUUUUGUGUCAUAUUUUGAACCGGUUCAACACGGGAUAAGCAAUUUAUUAAUUUAUAAUGUUUAUUAAUUUAUCUAAUAUUAAUUUAUAGAUUUUCUACUCUAAUAAAAUAUACCAUAUUGUUGAAUUUACAAAAGUUUGUAAAAUCAAAUCUUAACAAUUUAAUUACUCGAAAGUACCUUCAAUUCUAUAUUUCAAGAUAUAUUGAAAACGAAAUGAGUUUAUUUAGUUAUUGCAGUGAUUUAGUACCUUUUGGGCCUGCAUGAAUUCGGUUGUGAUGUAUAAAAACCUAAUAAUAUCCAAAUAACCAAUGUAUCUGAAACGAGUUCGGAUAUUUGUAUCAAAAAUAAUCAUAUUACCUGAUUUGUUAUGGGUCUUUUGAAUACAAUUAUCUAUAUGGCAGCACAUCUAAAAUAUAUAACACUGAUUAUGAAAUUUUUUAUUAAUGUAUAGAAACGUAAGAACCAGUAUCCGCAUGGACGCGCAGAUCAAACUCAGUAUAUAAUUAAAUUGGUGCAAACAUAUAAAUCAAUUUUAUUAAUCCAAACAAUAUUAUUUUUCUUUUUGAUAUGAUAUAUAAUUAAAUUUAAAUAAUAUUAACAUACAUAAUAUAUUUUUAAUAUUAAUGUCUAUUAAAUGAUGUUUUCUACUCAUAUGGUUUUUUUCUCAUUUGUAUCAUUUAUAGCAAAAACUUUAAAUCCUACUAUAUAAAAGGGCUUAAUUUUGAGGCUUCUUAGGAGUGCCAUCUAGGCAAAAUAUUCCCAGCCAAUCAAACUGCCAUGUCACUACGGGCUGGGUCUCAAACCAAUUUAAAAUUCCGGCCCAAAUUUGCCCCAUUCCGGCCCAACCUUAAUUCUCCUACUAUCUCCUUUCCUUAACCCUAAUCUUCCACUCUACCAAAAGGCCAUCCCCUUUGUCGCCGAUUCUCUUCGUCCUCUCACGUUUUUUGCUUUAAAGACCCAUUGUUUAAAGAAGCAAGCGACAGGGAUGAAACUGUUUGCAUUCCCACAUCAUCUGCCCUUAGAUAAAUCUUCAUCUUCAUUCUUUCUCUCUUUCACGUUAUUCACCAAUUCCACAUAAACACAGCAACCAAUGGCUUCCAAAACUACGAAAUCCUCCGGCAAGUCAAAUGAACCAGGGUUCAUUGCUCCUUAGUGUAAACAGUUGUUGCAGGAAUCGAAGUUUUUUGUAUAUUUUGGAACAAGGAGAUAAAACGUUUCAAAGAGGAGAAAGAAGUAAAAAAAAAAGAAACUUCCAUGAAGUAUAUAGAGUCCGAUGGAGUUGUUGAUUCUCUCACCAAAGGCUUUCCAAUGUUGUUCUGGUUGCUUUGAAUGGGAAGAAGGACAAGCCUUCAUCUACAUUAGAGUAAGUUACUAGACAUGUACUUUGUUUCCAACUGCAAUUUAUUAGUUUCUAAGAGACUACCAUAAUCUUUAAUCCAGCUUCUCCCGUUUUAGUGAACCAGGUGCCAACUUUUAUGAACUAACUCCCAAUUAAAAAAUAGGUCUAAGAGUAAAUCAUGUCCUCUACAAAAUUGAUGGAAAUUUGGGUUUAGUCUUUCAUCAAGUAGCUCUAACAGGGAUCAAACAAAUUUCGGCCUCUCUUCUGCACAAGUAAGAAAGCAAAACCAUUUCAUGAUUCUUCUUCACUCAAAAUAUAGCUUAACCUUUACAUUUUUGCUUGCAUUUGUCUCUUUUUUACUACUUCAUUAGUCGAUGUUUAUAUCAUGACUUUCUGAGGGAUGUUUGAUGCAAUGUUUAGUGGGAAAGGUAGCAAAUCCCAUCGUUCGAAAAUGGUAACUUCUAAACUUACCAUCCCUAUUCUCAGUAGUUUUAUUGUAUGUGGUGUGCUAGCCUAAAAACUUCAUGCUAAUACUGAUUUUUUCUUAGUUCUUCGAAAACAAUAACAGACAAUGUAGUUUUCUCACGUUUUAUAUAUUGCUGGUUGGCUUGCAAUAGCAUUUACACAGACCAUGAUUGGAUAGAUGCUGGAAGAUGUUCCAACAGGCUUUGCAGUUGGUUUGUUCUGCUACGUGUUUUAUGUAGGGAAAAUGGGGACGUGGAAAGGAAUCUAGGGCUUCGUUGCAGACUCUCCUUGGAGAUGAUGCUGAAGUCUUUAAGCAACCAACAUUAUCAGAAGUAUUAUUCACUAUUCAUCUGUGAACAUGCAUGAAGCUUUGUUUUUUUGAGCAACCACAUGAAGCUCUUUUUUACUUUUCACAAGCCAUUUUAGAUGCACCCUCGAAAUAACAAUAAACUGCUUGCUUAUGAUUUUUACUCACGUUUCUGCAAUCUAAUUUUUUCAAAUCA